rnacentral:rRNA from 1 species
UGGGGAAUUUUGGACAAUGGGCGAAAGCCUGAUCCAGCAAUGCCGCGUGUGUGAAGAAGGCCUUCGGGUUGUAAAGCACUUUUGUCCGGAAAGAAAUCCUUGGCUCUAAUACAGUCGGGGGAUGACGGUACCGGAAGAAUAAGCACCGGCUAACUACGUGCCAGCAGCCGCGGUAAUACGUAGGGUGCAAGCGUUAAUCGGAAUUACUGGGCGUAAAGCGUGCGCAGGCGGUUUGCUAAGACCGAUGUGAAAUCCCCGGGCUCAACCUGGGAACUGCAUUGGUGACUGGCAGGCUAGAGUAUGGCAGAGGGGGGUAGAAUUCCACGUGUAGCAGUGAAAUGCGUAGAGAUGUGGAGGAAUACCGAUGGCGAAGGCAGCCCCCUGGGCCAAUACUGACGCUCAUGCACGAAAGCGUGGGGAGCAAACAGGAUUAGAUACCCUGGGUAGUCCACGCCCUAAACGAUGUCAACUAGUUGUUGGGGAUUCAUUUCCUUAGUAACGUAGCUAACGCGUGAAGUUGACCGCCUGGGGAGUACGGUCGCAAGAUUAAAACUCAAAUGAAUUGACGGGGUCAUAGCUGUUUCCU